rnacentral:rRNA from 1 species
CGUGAGUGAUGAAGGCUUUCGGGUCGUAAAGCUCUGUCAAGUGAGAAGAAACCAUAUGGUGUUAAUAUCGCCAUAUGCUGACGGUACCACUGAAGGAAGCACCGGCUAACUCCGUGCCAGCAGCCGCGGUAAUACGGGGGGUGCAAGCGUUAUUCGGAAUUACUGGGCGUAAAGAGCGCGUAGGCGGUCUUUUAAGUCAGGUGUGAAAUCCCGGGGCUCAACCCCGGAAGUGCACUUGAAACUAAGAGACUUGAGUAUGGGAGAGGGAAGUGGAAUUCCUGGUGUAGCGGUGAAAUGCGUAGAUAUCAGGAGGAACAUCGGUGGCGAAGGCGACUUCCUGGACCAAUACUGACGCUGAGGCGCGAAGGCGUGGGGAGCAAACAGGAUUAGAUACCCUGGUAGUCCACGCAGUAAACGGUGAACACUAGGUGUAGCGGGUAUUGACCCCUGCUGUGCCGCAGCAAACGCAUUAA